rnacentral:lncRNA from 1 species
GGCAACAAUAGCUAUGGUAGCUGAUGGUGGAUGAACCAAACAAGAUAAGGUAUCCUUGGCGCGGCAAGAUCUGACGGUCUUCAAAAAGGAUCUCAGCCAAUGAUGACUGCAUGAGAAUAGGAAGGAACGAGAGGAGGUGUUGAUGAGUUGGGAGGCCAUGAUGCCUCAUCUUCAGUGGUGGUGUGACUAUGGUUGGGCCAAAAUUUUUUUUUUUUCUUACUUUUCUGAUGAUGUAAUCGAUUGGUCUCGCAAUAGGGUGGAAACUCAAAUUUAUAGAUGAUGGAGGCUAGGAUUUUUUAGCCUCUAACAAGUUUGAGAAGGAGCCAGAGUCGGACUCCUCCAACUCAAGUAGGG